rnacentral:lncRNA from 1 species
AACUGUAAUUAUAUGUUGGGAAUGGAAACUAAUGUCUCAAAUCACAAGAAAGAAAAUAAAAAAGGAGAAAAUGUUACAAAAUCCAAUACAAAAAUUCAAAUCCCCAAGAAUAAGUAUGGUCAUUGUCGUAGGCAGUCAUUGCUUUUUUACCUUUAGACUUCAAAUCAAGACUGAAGAGCCUCACUUUUGUCCCCCUCCUUUGUUCU